rnacentral:rRNA from 1 species
GAUGAACGCUGGCGGCGUGCCUAAUACAUGUAAGUCGAGCGAACAGACGAGGAGCUUGCUCCUCUGAUGUUAGCGGCGGACGGGUGAGUAACACGUGGAUAACCUACCUAUAAGACUGGGAUAACUUCGGGAAACCGGAGCUAAUACCGGAUAAUAUAUUGAACCGCAUGGUUCAAUAGUGAAAGACGGUUUUGCUGUCACUUAUAGAUGGAUCCGCGCCGCAUUAGCUAGUUGGUAAGGUAACGGCUUACCAAGGCGACGAUGCGUAGCCGACCUGAGAGGGUGAUCGGCCACACUGGAACUGAGACACGGUCCAGACUCCUACGGGAGGCAGCAGUAGGGAAUCUUCCGCAAUGGGCGAAAGCCUGACGGAGCAACGCCGCGUGAGUGAUGAAGGUCUUCGGAUCGUAAAACUCUGUUAUUAGGGAAGAACAAAUGUGUAAGUAACUAUGCACGUCUUGACGGUACCUAAUCAGAAAGCCACGGCUAACUACGUG